GACGAACGUUGGCGGCGUGCCUAACACAUGCAAGUCAGGGGUUCUUCGGAACACCGGCGGACGGGUGAGUAACGCGUAGAUAAUCUGCCUCUAUCACGGGGAUAACUACUGGAAACGGUGGCUAAUACCCGAUGUUGCAACUUGUUGUAAAAGUCUUCGGACGGAUAGAGAUGAGUCUGCGUCUGAUUAGCUUGUUGGUAAGGUAACGGCUUACCAAGGCGAUGAUCAGUAACUGGUCUGAGAGGACGAUCAGUCACACUGGAACUGAGACACGGUCCAGACUCCUACGGGAGGCAGCAGUGAGGAAUAUUGGUCAAUGGGGGCAACCCUGAACCAGCGACGCCGCGUGAGGGAUGACGGGGCUUUGCCUUGUAAACCUCUGUCAGAAGGGAAAAGAAGGUUGUUUGGCGACCUGGGCUUGUACCUUCGGAGGAAGCACCGGCUAACUACGUG
rnacentral:rRNA from 1 species